rnacentral:rRNA from 1 species
ACUCAAAUGAAUAGACGGGGGCCCGCACAAGCGGUGGAUCAUGUGGUUUAAUUCGAAGCAACGCGAAGAACCUUACCUGGAUUUGACAUCCUCUGAAUUUGGUAGAGAUAUCAACGGCCCGCAAGGGACAGAGAGACAGGUGCUGCAUGGCUGUCGUCAGCUCGUGUUGUGAAAUGUUGGGUUAAGUCCCGCAACGAGCGCAACCCCUGUGCUUGGUUGCCAUCAUUAAGUUGGGCACUCCAAGCAGACUGCCGUCGUCAAGACGGAGGAAGGUGGGGAUGACGUCAAGUCCUCAUGGCCUUUAUAUCCAGGGCGACACACGUGAUACAAUGGUAGGCACAAAGGGCAGCGAAGUGGUGACACGGAGCCAAUCUCAAAAAGCCUAUCUCAGUUCGGAUUGGAGUCUGCAACUCGACUCCAUGAAGUUGGAAUCGCUAGUAAUCGCGGAUCAGAACGCCGCGGUGAAUACGUUCCCGGGCCUUGUACACACCGCCCGU